AGUGAACGCUGGCGGCAGGCCUAACACAUGCAAGUCGAACGAGUGGCGGACUGGUGAGGAAUACAUCGUCAUCUACUCUGUCUUGCGGUCUAACGUAGGGAAACUUACGCUAAUACCGCAUACGAUUGAAUGAGCCGAUGUCGGAUUAGCUAGUUGGCGUGGUAAAGGCCCACCAAGGCGACGAUCCGUAGCUGGUCUGAGAGGAUGAUCGGCCACACUGGGACUGAGACACGGUCCAGACUCCUACGGGAGGCAGCAGUGGGGAAUAUUGGACAAUGGGCGCAAGCCUGAUCGAGCAAUACCGCGUGGGUGAAGAAGGUCUUCGGGUUGUAAAGCCCUGUUGUUGGGAAAGCGGUAACCAAAGAAUAAGCACCGGCUAACUUCGUGCCAGCAGCCGCGGUAAUAC
rnacentral:rRNA from 1 species